rnacentral:rRNA from 1 species
UUCAUGGACGAAGUCUGAUGGAGCACGCCGCGUGAGCGAUGAAGGCCUUCGGGUCGUAAAGCUCUGUUGUUAGGGAAGAACAAGUACCGGAGUAACUGCCGGUACCUUGACGGUACCUAACCAGAAAGCCACGGCUAACUACGUGCCAGCAGCCGCGGUAAUAC